rnacentral:lncRNA from 10 species
CCAAGUUGUGUUGAUUAUAAUAUGCUAGUUUUGCUGUCAGAAAUAUAUAGUAAUCCAAAACUUCAAUGUCUUAAAUCAGGAAAGGUUUUUUUUUUUUUUUUCCUCAUCUACACUAAAUGUUUAAUGCAAAAGAGAUGGGCAACGGUAAGGAACAAUGCUCCAAGUAGUUAUUCAUAAAUUUAGGUUCGCUGGGGCUCAACAAUAUUAUUGCCAUUUGCUGCAACUCAGGAAGAGAAUAUGGUUAAACCUCACCUAUUGUUCUAUAAUUCCUCCUACAAAUGACACCUACUAAUUUUUUCCACAGUCUACUGGCUUGAAAUAGUCACACAUUCAAACCAUGCUGCAAGAAAGCUUAGAAUUUUAAUAUUCCAUGUGUUCAGGAAGAAGAGAAAUUCUGGAGAGCCUAAGUAUUAGUAACAUUGAAUACAUAUUCUCAGUUCCUAAGGACUGUAAUUCAAUUAUCCAAUUUUAAGGCGGAAACAAUAAAUAUCAUGUCAUUUUUGCGAUAAUGAAUUAAAGCAAUGUAUUUAAAUCUUAUGCCUUGAAGAACUGUUAUAUAAUAAAUCUAUUUUCUUAUCUACUGUUCACAGACUUCUUUCACAGAGGUGCUAUUGGAACAAGCUGAUCUUGUCACUAGCACCUUGAAUUUAUGCAAGCAGUUACUCUCAAGAAGCUGCAAAAUACAUUUCUUCAGACUGGUGAGUAACACAUGGACUCAGAUUUGCUUGAGAUUUAGCAAAAUAUUCUGAAUUAAAAUACAUAAGUCAAAUCAUUUUUACUAACUAUAAAGUAAUGAAAUGCUUGGAUUUUCAGAAUAAAUUUAGUCUUUAUAACUCAGCACCACUGGUCCAACUACUUUUCUCUCCACUUCAUCUAUAUUUAGUAUUCUCUAAUUUUAUAUUUCACAUUUAUUAUCUAUUUAAGAAAUACAAUAAGUAGAGCAUGUUGAGAGGUCUGCAUACAUAAUAAUAUGUGCUGUAAAUUCAUUUACUAAUGCAGGUACAAUUUAGAAGUAUGACUUGAUUGUGUAAGAAUUUUAAUUUCUCCAUACUCCUGAUAGACAGAGUACACAAAGAAACAAAUAAACAGAUUAAGUGAAUGCACCAAAAGUCAAUAGCAGGUGUCAUUUCUGACUGGCAAGAUUAAGGUAUUUCUUAUAUUUUGGGAGGUUUUUCUGUAUUUCCUUUAUUUGUUUAUUUAUUUAUUGUGUUUUGAGACCGGGCCUCGCUCUGUCACUCAGGCUGGAGUGCAGUGGCGCCAUGUCACUUCACUGCAGCCUUCACCUUCCGGGUUCAAGGGAUCCUCCUGGCCCAGCCCCCCAAUAGCUGGGACUAAAAUUGUGCACUACCGCACCUGCUUAAUUUUUGUAUUUUUUGUAGAGACAGGGUUUUUCCAUGUUGUCCAGGCUGGUGUCAAACUCCUGAGCUCAAGCAAUUCACUCGCCUUGGUCGCCCAAAGUUCUGGACUACAGGUGUGAGCCACCACACCUGGCCUCACUUAUUUUUUGACAAUUAAUGUAUUUUUC